rnacentral:tRNA from 1 species
GGAGCUGUGCCUGAGUUUUAAGGGUCACUUUGAUAGAGUGCUAUAUGAGGGUUAAAGUCCCUCCAACUCCC